AUUGAACGCUGGCGGCAGGCCUAACACAUGCAAGUCGAACGAGUGGCGGACGGGUGAGUAAUGUCUGGGAAACUGCCCGAUGGAGGGGGAUAACUACUGGAAACGGUAGCUAAUACCGCAUACCAUCGGAUGUGCCCAGAUGGGAUUAGCUUGUAGGUGAGGUAACCGCUCACCUGGGCGACGAUCCCUAGCUGGUCUGAGAGGAUAACCAGGAAGGCUGGGAAUGGUAAACGGGAAAGAGUCCUGCGGGAGGCAGAAGUGGAGAAUAUUGCGAAAUGGGCGGAAGCGUAGUGCAGCCAUGCCGCGUAUAUAGAGAAGGCCGUCGGUUUGUGAAGUACUUACAGAGAAGAGACGUUACCCGCAGAAGAAGCACCGGCUAACUCCGUGCCAGAAGCCGCGGUAAUAC
rnacentral:rRNA from 1 species